AUUGAACGCUGGCGGCAUGCCUUACACAUGCAAGUCGAACGGCAGCGGACCUUCGGGUGCCGGCGAGUGGCGAACGGGUGAGUAAUAUAUCGGAACGUACCUUUCAGUGGGGGAUAACGUAGCGAAAGUUACGCUAAUACCGCAUAUUCUGUGAGCAGGAAAGCAGGGGAUCGCAAGACCUUGCGCUGAUUGAGCGGCCGAUAUCAGAUUAGCUAGUUGGUGAGGUAAAGGCUCACCAAGGCGACGAUCUGUAGCGGGUCUGAGAGGAUGAUCCGCCACACUGGAACUGAGACACGGUCCAGACUCCUACGGGAGGCAGCAGCGGGGAAUUUUGGACAAUGGGCGCAAGCCUGAUCCAGCCAUGCCGCGUGAGUGAAGAAGGCCUU
rnacentral:rRNA from 1 species